GACGAACGCUGGCGGCGUGCUUAACACAUGCAAGUCGAACGGUAAGGCCCUUCGGGGUACACGAGUGGCGAACGGGUGAGUAACAAGUCGGUGAUCUGCCCUGCACUUCGGGAUAAGCCUGGGAAACUGGGCCUAAUACCGGAUAGGACCACUGCCUUCCUGGGUGGCGGUUGAAAGCUUUUGCGGUGUGGGAUGGGCCCGCGGGCUAUCAGCUUGUUGUUGGGGUGAUGGACUACCAAGGCGACGACGGGUAGCCGGCCUGAGAGGGUGACCGGCCACACUGGGACUGAGAUACGGCCCAGACUCCUACGGGAGGCAGCAGUGGGGAAUAUUGCACAAUGGGCGCAAGCCUGAUGCAGCGACGCCGCGUGAGGGAUGACGGCCUUCGGGUUGUAAACCUCUUUCAGCACCGACGAAGCGCAAGUGACGGUAGGUGCAGAAGAAGGACCGGCCAACUCGUGCCAGCCGCCGCGGUAA
rnacentral:rRNA from 1 species